CGGACUCUAAACCAGGCCGCUACUCAGGGCGGGGGGACGUCGGGACGCAGCCGACGCGGAGCAUCAGUCAUUAGGGCUUCUGUCCAUCCCUACCGCAUCGGUGGCGCUGGCCUACAUUCCAUAUCAGUGGUCUUCGUCUGUUCAUCUAUGGCUCAUCUGUCCACUGCUGUCCAUCCGCACCCAAUCGAGCCCCAAAACGUUGGGGGCAUCCAUGGGGGAAUCGGUCCGCUACUAACUUGAUUAAAUCCAUUUUAAACAAACGAUUACGCGGAAUGUCCGAAUCCCUUCGGGCGCACCAGACAUGAGUCGGCCCGUUUGUGAUAGCACUGCCAUUGCAAACGGGCCGAUCGCGUUUUCAGGGAUGCGUGGGGCCAUGGGCUGCCACAGGGCGGGUGU
rnacentral:sRNA from 1 species